rnacentral:rRNA from 1 species
GACGAAUGCUGGCGGCGUGCUUAACACAUGCAAGUGGAGCGACGAACCGGGGCUUGCCUCGGGGCAGAGCCGCGAACGGGUGAGUAACACGUGGGUAACCCACCCGAUGACCGGGACAACCCGAGGAAACUCGGGCUAAUACCGGAUGUGCUCCUUGACCUCGAGGUCAAGGCGUAAAGAUAGCUUCGGCCUUCGCAUCGGGACGGCCCGCGGCCCAUUAGCUUGUUGGUGGGUAAAGGCCUACCAAGGCGACGAUGGGUAGCUGGUCUGAGAGGACGAUCAGCCACACUGGGACUGAGAC